AAAUGUGCGCUACAUUAAACACGGUUGUUCGUUAGGGGAUAAGACUCCCUCGCUUUCCUAUUCACACUUUUUCAUCACUUUUAUCCAUGGCGAUAACCUCAGCAGCUGCAGCAGUCCCAGCACUGUCUUCCCUCUCCCAUCGAGCUCCAAUUCCUUCCAUUUCCUUCCUCUUCCCCGACUCCACCAGACCCUUUUCUCUUUCCCGCUCAUUCCGCUCCUUUUCCCUCACUCCCCAAGCCAAAGCCUCAGACAUCGAAAUCUCCUUUUCCGACGACCUCAACCCCGAAGACGAAGCUGUCGCCUUUGACCCGCCAACACCCCCAGAAGGGUUCAUCCCUCCACCUGCUUUCGACGAUGGCCCCGAGGAAACCGAGGACGAAGUCGCCGCUGCCUAUGAGGAGCUCUACGGCCCAGCCUACAGUGGGGUCUCCGUUCUAGGCAACGAUGUUUAUGUAAUGGACUCUAAAGUGAAGAAAACGAGUGCAUUUGGGAAAGUUACGAAAGAAAAGGUGAGGGAUGGAUUUGAGGAAAGAGUGGUUCAAGUUAGAAGAGUGACUAAAGUGGUUAAAGGUGGGAAACAACUUCAUUUCAGGGCCAUUGUUGUGGUUGGUGAUAAGCAAGGGCAAGUUGGGGUUGGAGUUGGGAAAGCUAAGGAAGUCAUUGCUGCCGUUCAGAAAUCGGCUGUGAAUGCUCGGAGGAAUCUCAUUACUAUACCUAUGACAAAGUAUUUGACUUUCCCACACCGAUCCGAGGGUGACUAUGGGGCAGCUAAGGUGAUGCUUAGACCUGCCGCACCUGGUACUGGAGUGAUUGCAGGUGGUGCUGUGCGAAUAGUUCUUGAAAUGGCAGGUGUGGAGAAUGCUUUGGGCAAACAACUUGGAAGUAAAAAUGCCCUUAACAAUGCCAGAGCUACAGUUGUUGCUGUGCAGAAAAUGAAACAGUUCCGGGAGAUUGCUCAAGAACGAGGAAUCCCCAUGGAAGAGUUGUGGAAGUGAUGGCCUUGGAAGCGUGCUUCAUCUUUUCUCCUCGUGUUUUUCUGGGAAUGUAGAUUUACGCAAGGCUUCGGUAGUGUUUAUCUAACAUGAGCCAAGCUAAACUGGAAGAUUGGCAUCGCAGACUCUGUUCAAUGGUAAAACCAGAAGCCAUUAGCUGAAGCAUAGCCACCAUUAGCAUGUCUAGAUCAAUUCCUUAAAAAUAAGAAUGCAUGGAGAAGGAUAUUUCACUUCCAUAUCUUAACGCACUGAUCAUGACUUGCGGAGGCAACCAUUUCAGUCUGUAAACAAUCUGCCAGCGAAGAAAUUAGUCCCCUGUGUGCUUCAACUGUCCAUGUUUUAUUGCUCUCAACUGGAUUCCAUAAUUCCAGACACUGUUGAUAAAAAACAAUAAUAUUAAUAAAGAGAAACAAUGAUGUAUUAGUUGUUAAGAUUGCAAAAGGAUGACAAAAAGUGUGUAGAUGGGGCCAAGACAACUUCAGCCUAUUGGACUUAGCCAACCUUGUGUUUUCCACGUAACAACUAAUGUUAUUCUUAUAUUUUUCUUAACACCCCUUCCUCCACAAGAGGUUCACUUUACAUUCUUAUGUAUAUGUCGACACAUGAAGACAUGAUAACAUGUGUCUAAAACCCUCUUACAAGCUAACUAGUGAUGUAGUUGCAAACUUAUGAGAAACAAACAGUAUUUGCUAUAAUAUUCUGUAUAAUUGUCUUUACCUGGUAACCACCAAUGACCAAGAGUUGUGAGUACCCUGGAUGAAAUGUGCAGGACUGGAACUUGUUGCCUGUUGACCGCAAUUCAUGCAAGCAUUCUCCGCCAGAGACUGACCACAUUCGUGCACUGUCUUCACUGAUGGAGGCAAAAUACUUGCCACUAGGAUCCCAGCAAAUUGAAAGAACCUCUUUGUUAUGCCCCUGAAAGAAUAUAACAUUCGUUCAGAUAGGCAAGGAGAUAAAUGGACUUAGAAGCAUGCAAGUUAUAAUUACAUAGAAAGUGAAUCAACCUUCAAACAGGAUAGGGGCUUGUUAGUUUCAGCGUCAAUUACAUUCACAACAUUUCCCGAAGCAGUUGCAAUCAACUUUCCUGGUCGAGGCUGGAACCGGACUUGUUUAGUAGCUGACUGCAGUCACCUCAUAAGGAAAUUGAGAUAAGCAUCAGUAAGGAUUUGUUAGACAGCAUAGAAUUCUGAUGGAGUAAGACCAGAUGCAAGGCUAUCAUUAAAAGAGUCAUGCCAGACAAAAAGAAUAAUUCGAUGCUGGACUUCCUUUCAACACAAUUCAUUUUGUAGAAAACCACAAGGAUGUAAAACUAGAGAUUCUGAAAAUGUCAAUUUUAACCAUUUCAAUGUUUGUUAAGCAUAAACUGUCGUUCAAGAAGUA